CUUAUCAAGACUUGACAUAUACCGGAAAGCAUCAGAGAUGGUGCCCCCCUAGUGGUCGGUAUACAGGUGGUGCAUGGCUGUCGUCAGCUCGUGUCGUGAGAUGUUGGGUUAAGUCCCGCAACGAGCGCAACCCUUGUUCUGUGUUGCCAGCAUGCCCUUCGGGGUGAUGGGGACUCACAGGAGACUGCCGGGGUCAACUCGGAGGAAGGUGGGGACGACGUCAAGUCAUCAUGCCCCUUAUGUCUUGGGCUGCACACGUGCUACAAUGGCCGGUACAAUGAGCUGCGAUGCCGCGAGGCGGAGCGAAUCUCAAAAAGCCGGUCUCAGUUCGGAUUGGGGUCUGCAACUCGACCCCAUGAAGUCGGAGUUGCUAGUAAUCGCAGAUCAGCAUUGCUGCGGUGAAUACGUUCCCGGGCCUUGUACACACCGCCCGUCACGUCACGAAAGUCGGUAACACCCGAAGCCGGUGGCCCAACCCCUUGUGGGAGGGAGCUGUCGAAGGUGGAACGC
rnacentral:rRNA from 1 species